CGCUCAAUGACGUAACACGGGAUUGCGUCGCCUCACCACGUCUCGUUUGCAGCUUGAAUGAACCAUUCUACCGUGACAGAAAAGGUUAGACAACUAUGGGACGCCAAUUGGGCCAGAAAUGUCCAGGAUCGUACGCGCCCUGACAUCCCUGCAGAAGAGAUGAGCUUACCUGAUACAACUGCUGCCAUUGUUACUUACCUGGGAUUGCGCAGAGGCUGUCAUUUACAAAUAAAUGCAAAGCCACUGUUUCACUGUA